CUUGACACGAGAAACAUGCCUCAGAAGGUUUAAUUGCACAAUUUCAAAAUAGGCUUAGGUUCCAAGAAUCAGGUCCCUGCUUGCUGUUGAUGUCAUUGGCAUGGGGAGUUGGGGCUUUGGUGCUGAGAGGGUUUGUUGGAGGAGGAGUAAAGCAUAAAAGAGUGGUUUCUAACUUUGCUAAGUAGAGCACUCACCUGAGAUUUGGGGGUGAGGGGAGUCGACUUCCCACCCUGGACAUUCUGAUUUAAUUGGUUGGGGGUGAGAGGAGGCUAUAGGAUUUUUCAAAGCCCUUCAGGUUGGGGAGCCAGGUUUGAGAAUCUUGGGCAUAGAAGAAAGAUUGGUAGUCUCCAGGGAGAUUUACCUGCCAAAGUAAAGAGCUCCUUUGGAACAUCUGGAGUUUUAACAAUCUUGCAAAAUACAGGCAAAGGGGAAAAGACAGGGUGUGGUUUCAAUAAUAAAGGAUUAGUCUUUUUUACUAAAGGAGCCAGUGGAUGGUUUUCGCCCCCCUACAUUAGCCUGGAGGGCUCCCCUCCUCCCUGCUUGUGAUGGCUAGGACAGUGGUCUGGAGUGCUCCUGAGAUACUAGAGUUCUCUUAAUAAAGUAAGGUCUCUCUAUCUCUGACAAAGGGACCCUCUUUAUUUUAAAUUAAGCUCUUAGAGCCCCUGCAGAGCUCCAGAAACCUGCCCAGCUCUUUGAUGUCACUCUUUGAACACUAGGAUUAAUGAUUGGAGAUUUGUGUCUGAGAAAAAUAGAAAUGCCACUGAAUUUUCCUGUUUGUUCUGUAUUCACUUAAAACAGAAUGCUCCUGAGAAGUAAAC
rnacentral:lncRNA from 1 species